UCAGAACGAACGCUGCGGGCAGGCGUUAACACAUGCAAGUUGAACGGGAUUUGAUGGUAGCUUGCUAUCAUUAAUGAGAGUAGCGCACUGGUGAGUAACACGUGGGAACAUGCCGUUUUGUGGGGGACAACAGAUGGAAACGUCUGCUAAUACCGCAUAAGCCCUGAGGGGGAAAGAUUUAUUGCCGAAAGAUUGGCCCGCGGAAGAUUAGGUAGUAGGUGGGGUAAUGGCCUACCUAGCCGACGAUCUAUAGCUGGUCUGAGAGGACGAUCAGCCACAUUGGAACUGAGACACGGUCCAGACUCCUACGGGAGGCAGCAGUGAGGAAUAUUGGGCAAUGGAGGGAACUCUGACCCAGCCCAUGCCGCGUGAGUGAAGAAGGUUUUCGGAUUGUAAAGCUCUUUCAGAUGAGAAGAUAAUGACGGUAUCAUCAGAAGAAGCACCGGCUAACUUCGUGCCAGCCGCCGC
rnacentral:rRNA from 1 species